rnacentral:lncRNA from 1 species
AGCCAGUCCAGGCUCAAAUCUCUUCCCAGCAGCAUCACUCCAUCUUUGAUCGCUCGCGGCUCGACUAUCUCACCAGAAUUCUGGAAGAAAACGAUGAGGAGCUCCUCCUCCAGCUGCCACAACAACAGCAAACCUCUUACCAGGUACUGCUCCGCGAGCUCACGGAAUGUCUCUCCCCCAAUUCUUGUGCUAGCAGUUCCUUGUCAAUGGACACCGCCUCUCCUCCUCAUUUUCCCUCGCGCACCUCCACCGUCUCCUUCCACAGCUUGCUCAUGGACUGCGCCCGAGCCGUGGCUGCCAACAAUUCCACCGACGUCCAUGAGCUCGUGAGAGAGAUCAGAACUUUAGCCUCACCUCAGUCGCGUCCGGUGGAGAAGGCCGCGCUCUACUUCACCAACGCGCUCGUCGCGAGGCUGGCCGGGUGUGGAGCUCGGAUGUACGCCGCGAUGCGCCAGGACGUGACGAGGAUCCAGAGUAUCUCCAUCCGGAUGAAUCUUCCCAGCCUCCGGGCCACGGAGCGCUUCGCCAACCAGAUGAUCCUCGAUGCCUGCCGUGGUGCCAAGCGUGUCCAUAUCGUCGACUAUGGGAUCCUCUACGGCGACCAGUGGCCGUCUCUCAUCAAGGCGCUGUCCGAGAGAGCCGAGGGGCCGCCACUGUUCAAGAUCACAGGCAUUGACUUCCCGUCCCUUGUCAACCUCGAGAAAACUGGAAACCGGCUGGUCGACUACGCAGAGUCGUGUGGGAUGCACCUCGAGUUCCACUCCAUCGCCACCGCGGCGUGGGAGUCAGCGCAGCCGCGAUACCAUCUCUUCAGCGAGCUUCUCUUCGUCAACUGCCAGCUGAGGAUGCGGCACAUCCGCGAGGACGGAAUCAUCGACAGCCCCCGGAAGCUCUUCUUCGAGAAGAUCCUCAGUUUCAAGCCCGUUAUGUUUUUCCAGUCCGUGGUGCACGCUGACAUCGGCUCUCCGUUUUUCAUCCACCGCUUCGACGGGGCCUGGAGGAGCUUCCUGGCGAGGCUGGAGUCGUUCGAGGAGACGAUGAAGCUCGAAUUGAUCGACCAGUCGCAGCUCGAUUUCAUGGAUAAGUUCAUCGAGAAGUGCGCCAUGGGUGCCAUUGCCUGUGACGGGCAGAACCGUGUGGAGCGUAUCUCCUCGUACAAAACCUGGGAUCGCCUGGCUCGGAAAGGCCAGUUCGGACAGCUUCCAGUCAGCAAACGAGCGCUCGAGAUGGUCAUGUCCGUUUGGAGCGGACACGAGAACUUCACGUACGGAAUGGACGAGAACUGGCUGCUGCUUGGCUGGAAAGACGUAGUCUUGAAUGCUUUGAGCGUCUGGGAGCCCAUUGAGAAGCUACCGCGCUUCAAACACCAGUGAUCCACCCUGUACCUACAUUCUUUCUGUAACUUCUUUGUUCCUUAUCGUGUCCUUUCUGUAAGGAGACGAUUUAAAUGUCUUCAAAGAACACUCAAGAGGAACUUACCUUGUCACGGAAGUUCUCAAGUCCAUCGCUAUAGAACCUGAAACAUACCAGCCACUUGUAGGACACGCUUUGGUCGCCAAGCACUCAUCGCGUAGAGCACUGUGUCCUUCCACCCCAGCAACAUCCAGUUUCCAUCUCUUCCGAAGCCGAAGUCGGGGUUCCUGAAAUUUCCACAAGCGCUCCUCACUUUAUCGUAAAUCUCCUCCGCCACUGCCACCCCUUCGAAGCCUGCUCGCUUUGCCCGAGCAUCCCAGACGCGAUACGAGGCCGCUCUCUCCACUCGAUCGAGCCCUUCGCACGCGACGAUGUUCAUGAUAUCUCUUGCGGCCCCCUUUUGAAUAACUCCGUGCUCUUCCGGCUUUCCUUCUGCCACCGCUUCAAAGUACUCGCUCGGGCAAGUGUCGGGUGAUAUCGUACGACUCGUCUGCUCGGAGAUCUGGAUCCCAUGUCCACUGGCGAUGGAGAGGCCUUACCAGUGAUAGAUGGUCCAAGUAUCAAAUGGAUCAAAUAGUAGAAACCUUAAACGUUGCAUGGGAAGUAAAUCGAGUCAACUUAUAAAACGAAAACAAGUCUUGGCCUUACGGUGGUCAAUGCUGAUCUAUCAUGAAAACAACUUCCUCGAAUACUUGUCCUCUUCUUUUUUUAGAAAUAUUUCUAGAUUUUUAACCUGGCCACAAAUAACUGGCAGUUGGUGUAAAAAUAAUGUGAUGUUUUUAUUUCGUACGCAGCUCCUAAAAGCCUUUUUAAUCUAAGUGAAGCUUGCCUGCUUUAAAAACCUAAAAGAAUAGUCUUGGCACAUCUAAGGGUUUCAUGGCGGCUUGCGAUCAGCGUACCGUUUCCAUGGGAGGACCUGAAUUAGAGGAGCUACGGAACGCUCUCCCUUGUGUUCUUGCAAAGCUCGAGCUAAGCAACCACAAACAGCGCCAGUGGCUGCUUGAAAACUCUGCCAUCAUUGAUUACUCAGGCUGGCUCAGGGAACUGCUAGAAUGCAAGACCUACGGAAUGGUGGUAGAGCACCUCUGCGCAAGGAAUACGCUCCUGCCGCCGCAGGACGCUGUGCUCGAGGGAAGGAUGACGGUUGUGCUGGAUCUGGACAACACACUCAUCUUCUCCUCGUCAAUUCUCCGGCGGAGCCAGUGUGAUUUCGAGGUGAGAGAUGGUGGCAGUCGCAAGUGCAUCAAGAAGCGCCCGCAUCUCGACGAGUUCCUGGAUGCCCUGGCGCUGUUUGCCGAGGUUGUGCUCUUCAGCUCAGCCCCCUACGCAGCUCGCGUUUUCUGAUCCUCGCGGGACUCGCUUCCGGUACGUUCUUGGCCUGAGUGAUUGCACGCUGUGGCACGACACCCGCCUUGGCAAGGAGGCGCAGUUCAAGGAUCUGGACAUCCUCGGCAGGGACUUGCGCAAGGUUGUGCUGGUGGACGACGACCCUGGCUUCUUUUGCCAACCUGGGAGUGGCAACGAGAUUGUGAUUGGGAAGUUCACUGGGCAGAGGAGCGACGACGGGCUUCUCAAGCUACUUCCUGUGUUGCAGUCUCUGGCACAGCUCGACGACGUGAGGCCUGCUGUGUGCACUUAUCAGCAGCCUCAAGCACAAGGCAAUAAUAGUUCACUUGUUCUCGAUCUAAAAGCUUCAAUGGUGUUGGUUUUCUACGUAGUUGUGAGAGGUCAAGCGCUGAAGAGGACGUGGCGAAUGGCUGUAGAGGACAAGUAUUCGAGGAAGUUGUUUUCACGUUAAGGUUUGGUGAAGUUGACGAUUAGAAUUAGUUGACUUGUAUUCGUUUAUAAGUUGACUCAAUGCAUUCUCUUAUUUGAUGCAGGAGGAAACCAAACCCGGAAGCGGGAAUGGGUGGCACCCAUGGAAAGCCCUCUGGAAUGGGUGGCACCCGGGGUCAUGGAAAGCCCUAGAAUUAGUCACUGAUGCUGUGGUCUCGCGAUGUCAUCAAACUCAUCGUCAUAACGACCAUCGUCUUUAGCUAGAAGUAGCAGCAGUGGCAAAUAGAGCGUAGGCUUGAUCUUCUUCACGCACUCAAGGACGCUGAACCAGGCUUUGUCGCUCAUCUGUGACGAAGAGGCACACAAGAUGAGCAUCAGCCAUUUGCGACCAUCUGAGGUAUUCGAUUGAAGUCCCCGGCCUGUGGAGCCUUGAUGAGCAUCAUGUAGAAGGCUGCCUUUGGAAACACGGCCAAGUUCUUGAGCUUGUCACAAUGGCCCCGACCUCCACCACCAUACCUUUGGUCGCGAAGACGUUCAUCAAGAUCCCGUAAGUCAUAUGAUCUGGCCCAUCUCCUCGAUUAAGCUCUCUUCCCUCUGGAUGUUGCCACUCUCUACACACACGUUGGGCAACGUGUUGUAGAUGCCGUUUCUUCCGCUUGAUGGUGUUGUAGGGCCUGGUGUACAUGUCGAUGAGGAUGCUAAGAGUUAUCUCCGACGGCUCCAAGCCAUAGCUUGCCAGCUUGUCAACAUCCCUUGGGCGAGCAUGACUUUCCCUACUCAUCCUAGAGUUCCAAUCAAAAUGUUAAAGAGAACUUGAUCUCGCACUUGCUCCAUGUCUCCGAAGAGCCGCAAGAUCACCUGUUAGUCCCCAACUCUCGAGUAGAUGUUUGUGAUCACACCAAGUUCAAGACGAGGGAAUUGCCCACCUGGAUCUGGACUCGAUGGUCACACCAAGUCGGGCUUCGAGUUGUUCUUCCGCAUUAUCUGCUAGAGGUCCAUGGUCUCUGCCAUUCUUCCAACCUUCCCGUAGAGAUCGAUCAUGGCACUGUAUGUAACUCUGUCAAAAGAAACCCCAGUGUCACAAAGCCGGUGGAACCAGGCCAUGGCAUCCUCAGCUCAACCACAACACUUGGAACAGCUUGGUUGUCCAGCAUGAUCUUUUCCUCGAGCAUAUCCUUGAAAAGUUCUUCCAACAAACUCCACUGUUCUCCGAUCGCAUAGUAGCUUGAGCAUCAUGUUGUAUGCAAAGACAGUGAUCUCAAAAAUCUCUAUGAUCUCUAAUAAUCUCAUCUAGCCCCUAUUAAACCCUUGUUUUUAAUAAAGAACUUUACCACUGUGUUGUCCACACUUUGUCUUUUAUCUCUGUAGCAAAAUAAAUUAGUCCACCAAAUCUUCUCCUCCUUUCUAACUCUCAAUUAAAAAUGUUAUUUUACAUUAGUGGAAAAUGUCAAACAUGAACAUGAUAGCUCUGUCCAAAACUACCACUAUUAACUACGCACUCGGAGGGAAACAUAAAAUCUAUUCUAGUACUUUCGACAGUUAACAGUGUAAAUUUUUGACCUAUGGCUAUUACAAAUGGACAGCGAUCUAUGCUUGCAAUUGCGAGCCGCUUUGCUGCGCCGUCAAAUCCCCCUCGAGCCAGUCCAGGCUCAAAUCUCUUCCCAGCAGCAUCACUCCAUCUUUGAUCGCUCGCGGCUCGACUAUCUCACCAGAAUUCUGGAAGAAAACGAUGAGGAGCUCCUCCUCCAGCUGCCACAACAACAGCAAACCUCUUACCAGGUACUGCUCCGCGAGCUCACGGAAUGCCUCUCCCCCAAUAGCAGUUCCUCGUCCAUGGACACCGCCUCUCCUCCUCAUUCUCCCUCGCGCACCUCCACCGUCUCCUUCCACAGCUUGCUCAUGGACUGCGCCCAAGCCGUGGCUGCCAAGAAUUCCACCGACGUCCAUGAGCUCGUGAGAGAGAUCAGAACUUUAGCCUCACCUCAGUCGCGUCCGGUGGAGAAGGCCGCGCUCUACUUCACCAACGCGCUCGUCGCGAGGCUGGCCGGGUGUGGAGCUCGGAUGUACGCCGCGAUGCACCAGGACGUGACGAGGAUGCAGAGUAU